GCCAAUUUGGCUCAGUGGAUAGAGCGUCAGUCUGUGGACUGAAGGGUCCCGGGUUCGAUUCUGGUAACGGGCA
rnacentral:tRNA from 1 species